UAUGAAGUGCCUGAAUAAAGGAUUAUCCCGAUACGAUAAAUAAUGCAAAAUAUUUACUUGCCUUUAUAA
rnacentral:tRNA from 1 species